AGCGAACGCUGGCGGCAGGCCUAACACAUGCAAGUCGAACGAACUCUUCGGAGUUAGUGGCGGACGGGUGAGUAACACGUGGGAACGUGCCUUUAGGUUCGGAAUAACUCAGGGAAACUUGUGCUAAUACCGCAUGUGCCCUUCGGGGGAAAGAUUUAUCGCCUUUAGAGCGGCCCGCGUCUGAUUAGCUAGUUGGUGAGGUAAAGGCUCACCAAGGCGACGAUCAGUAGCUGGUCUGAGAGGAUGAUCAGCCACAUUGGGACUGAGACACGGCCCAAACUCCUACGGGGGGCAGCAGUGGGGAAUCUUGCGCAAUGGGCGAAAGCCUGACGCAGCCAUGCCGCGUGAAUGAUGAAGGUCUUAGGAUUGUAAAAUUCUUUCACCGGGGACGAUAAUGACGGUACCCGGAGAAGAAGCCCCGGCUAACUUCGUG
rnacentral:rRNA from 1 species